rnacentral:tRNA from 1 species
GCCAGUUUGGCCUAAUGGUUAAGGCACCAGGUUAGAAAGCGGGAAACGGUGAGUUAUAGUCCCACCUUAGGCA